UUGUAUCUAUUACAUAUUAGGCUAUUAUUAUUAUCUCAGAUCUAUUAUUAACUCUACCGCCUAAAAAAACCUAUCAACUAAUAUAAAGUCGUAACAGUUUUAGUUAAAAGCCCAUCUUUUAUUUAAGCAGACUUUAACACCUCUACACUACCAGGGGUCGGGAGGGAGAACCGGGAGGGGGCGGAUAGCUCAGGUAGGUUACCCGUCCUGUCUAACGCCUCCUGCGGCCGCCUCUCCUGCGACGACGUCGGGACACCCUGGGGCGGCGGCGCCUGCGGACAGGUCGCCUGGAGGAUCUGCGUCUUCUGGGCAUUGUGAUUGAUGGAUAAGACUUUUAGACGGGCCGUGCUCCCUUUUAUAGGGCUGGAGGGGGCUGGGGUGAUGUCAUUAUGGGAUAAAUGAUGAUGCAAUAAUUAUUAAUGACAGUUUAAAUUUUGAAAACUUGUGAAUUCUGUGACGUCAUAGUAGCACUGGCAGGAUGAUGCAAUGAUAUUUUUUAUUUUGUAAAUUUAAAAAGUGAUAUUUUUUUGGGCCAACCCAAUGAACCAUGGUAGAAAUAAUCAAUCAGGUCUUUAUUUAAUGGUGAUUUGGAAUGUUGUAAGAGGAGAUCCUACUGCAGCAUAGAAUGCUUAAGGCAUAUUAUAAUUCAGAUAGGCUAUCAUGUGUAAAACACAUCUUCACUAGAUUAUGCCAAAAUAGAACAGAGGAUUUAAGGAAAGUCUCUAUUUAAUCAUCAAUUUCCUGCAGUCAAAUAACACAAGAAUGCUUUCUAAAAUGGUGGAUCUUCAGGAGCCCACUCCACCUGGAUACCAUGACAACCCACAAGUGAUUGACACUUGACAGAAUCACCGACCAGCUAUAGAGUCAGCAGGAGCAGCCAGCCCUCCGAUUCAUAUAGAGGAGCGCGUUCAGCAGCAAGCGAGCUUG